AGGGGAAUGCAGGAUCCUGGGCUGUGUCUGCCCGGCGCCCUGGGAUCUGGGGCCUGUGCUGCUGGAAUCUCGCUCCUGGGGCUGUGGCUCCU
rnacentral:pre_miRNA from 1 species